GGUAUGUAAACUUCUAUCAGCAGGGAAGAAAAUGACGGUACCUGACUAAGAAGCCCCGGCUAACUACGUGCCAGCAGCCGCGGUAAUACGUAGGGGGCAAGCGUUAUCCGGAUUUACUGGGUGUAAAGGGAGCGUAGACGGAUGGACAAGUCUGAUGUGAAAGGCUGGGGCUCAACCCCGGGACUGCAUUGGAAACUGCCCGUCUUGAGUGCCGGAGAGGUAAGCGGAAUUCCUAGUGUAGCGGUGAAAUGCGUAGAUAUUAGGAGGAACACCAGUGGCGAAGGCGGCUUACUGGACGGUAACUGACGUUGAGGCUCGAAAGCGUGGGGAGCAAACAGGAUUAGAUACCCUGGUAGUCCCACGCGGUAAACGAUGAAUGCUAGGUGUCGGGGAGCAAAGCUCUUCGGUGCCGCCGCACACGCAUUAAGCAUUCCACCUGGGGAGUA
rnacentral:rRNA from 1 species